CCCCCUAGUAGCGGCGAGCGAAGCGGGAAGAGCUCAAAUUUAUAAUCUGGCACCUUCGGUGUCCGAGUUGUAAUCUCUAGAAGUGUUUUCCGCGUUGGACCGCACACAAGUCUGUUGGAAUACAGCGGCAUAGUGGUGAAACCCCCGUAUAUGGUGCGGACGCCCAGCGCUUUGUGAUACACUUUCAAUGAGUCGAGUUGUUUGGGAAUGCAGCUCAAAUUGGGUGGUAAAUUCCAUCUAAAGCUAAAUAUUGGCGAGAGACCGAUAGCGAACAAGUACCGUGAGGGAAAGAUGAAAAGCACUUUGGAAAGAGAGUUAACAGUACGUGAAAUUGUUGGAAGGGAAACGCUUGAAGUCAGACUUGCUUGCCGGAGCUUGCUUCGGUUUGCAGGCCAGCAUCAGUUUUCCGGGGUGGAUAAUGACGGUUUGAAGGUAGCAGUCUCGGCUGUGUUAUAGCUUUCCGUUGGAUACGCCCUGGGGGACUGAGGAACGCAGCGUGCUUUUUGCGAAAGACUCGUCUUUUUCACGCUUAGGAUGCUGGUGGAAUGGCUUUAAACGACCCG
rnacentral:rRNA from 1 species